rnacentral:lncRNA from 10 species
GCAUAGUGUUCUGUUUGUCCCCGUGACUGUCCACCUCUUCUUUGGCCUGUUGGCAUGCGCUUAUCCUCCAGACCUCAGUCCAAAGGUUCAGUCCCGGAGCAGACACAACCCUGUUUGCAGAGAGCCAACAUUCUAAUUGACAGUGCGUGGUGGGAAACAGUGAACCGAGGGAAAGAGUGCCAGUGUUAGAGAGCCACAGUGCAGUGAAGAAGAGAAGGCAAGAGGAUGUGAUGCAAAAUCACAGGACCUGGCUUCCAGACCAUUCUGC